rnacentral:lncRNA from 1 species
GACACAGUUAUAUGAAGUAGGUGGAAACACAUAUACUCAUAUUUGGUCUGCUAUUUGGAAGUUGUGUUGGGUCAAACUGGGCUCCUUAAGUUUGGUAUACAUUUCUUUUUUUGUGCUUAUUGUAAUGAAGCUUAAGCAAGAUUCUCAAUAUACCGCUUCAUUGUUGAAAUGCUUUAAGGCAAUUGGCUUUGAAUCUCAUACUUUACUUCCUCCCAGGCAUGCCUCAGUUGUCCAGAAACACACUGUUUAUCUUAUCGCUUAAGUCAUGUCCAGAAAGAGCAACCAUGUAUCUUAUAUACUAUGUAGUCUGUUUGCUUAAGGAGCCAUAUACCAUAUGAUUCCUAGAUCUGGUCUAAAUUAAUCCCCCAUGCCCCCGAAAAAAACCAACCUGCUCUGAAACUUUUGGCAUACUCAAGUCAUAAAUAAUAGGACCAUUAAAACAAUACAUUAGUCUCUGACCCUCUGAACGUAGCCAUUGGAAGAACCGAGUGCCCUGUGAACAGGAGAGGACGUAACUACGUUUAAGUGAAGCUUUAAAAUACGAAUUUUUGAUAGUUCACAAGAAACAGGUUUACAGAAGGCGUUAUUCAAACAAAAUGUGUACACUAUUUGCCUAAUCAUUAUGGAGUACAUGAUUUAAAAAUAAAUAAACAAAAGAACCUCCCUUAGACCAGCAGCCAUUAGCAUAGCAAGAUGGGCUUUAAAGAUGAUAUACCACACAAACAGACAUGCCGUGGAGAAACACUCCUGUCAGAAUCUAACCUGGAUUCUUGAAUAGAGGAAGCAUUGGUGGUGGGAAGCACAUGGCAGAUAGGAUAUGCGCAUGUGUCUAAGAUGGUCUCAUCAAGAUGGUGAGACUCUUGACUCUCACGGCCUCGGGCUGAGGCCCUCUCUGGGCUUUGCCAAGAUUAUUCUCCACUGGAACCACAGCUUUGUGUUCCAUGACGACAUGUCUAGUUUUUAGAGUUUAUCAACAGAAAAGUUUACAAAACUGAGUCUGGUUGAAUCUCUGUGAGGCAUUCAACUUUAAAGGGUCAACACAUCUGUCGGCAUUUUGCACACUUAUAUAUUAUUAUGAUACAACAUAUUACUUUAUGGUAAUUUUUAUUUUUUACAUAUAACUACCUCCAUGAAUCUGAUGAAAUGGCAGCGGUGUGUUAAAGUGUGUUCUUAAGACAAAAAAAGCAAUGUUUCAAACGCUUUUCAGCAGUAGGCCAUGGUGUUGCAUGUGUGUCGGUGACUUACCCAUUGGACUCAUGACUUUUUUGUUGCCAUGGUUUUCUUUCACAACAUCCUUUGGCUUCCAACUGUAAGCCUGUUGUUCCCCUUCCUUUCUCCCUUCUCCCCCAUGAAAGCACAUCUGAUUUGUUACAAAUGAAUGAACAUUUUAAAAUUACUGUCUUCCCCGCUUCUCUACUUCUGUUAUUAGAGAGAGAGAGAAAAAAGUUCUCUUUGGCAAAGAGCCACUUGGUAAACAUUUAGGAAGUUAUUAAUUCCUAUAGCAAUUGAAUUGGAUUGCUAGUGCCCCCCCCCUCCAGUAAGAAAAGACAUGAGAACUUUGAAGCACUUUGGGCCUCUCUGCUUUUAUCAUAUGCUACCCUAUGGAGCCCAAACUUCCUUCUUAUUAAAAGAACUGUGCCGUGCAUUCUGGGAUGUCUGUUAAGCAAUUUAUCUACCGUUUGAUAUAUCUUACACAUCUCAGGAGACCUUAAUGAGUGCAAAAAUAGGAUGUGUGCACACCCAAUAGGGAAAACCAAUAGGAAAGAAGAAAUGAGAGCAGCCAGGUAGAAAUAAGAAAUGCCUGUGUUUUAUAUGUUGGAGAAUUCACAUUCAGGAAACACAAGUGGAAAGGGAAUGUGGAGGAGCAGUGAUUUAAACACCAGCUGUUCCUAAAUGUCUCUUUCUGAAAACGUUACAAUGUACAAUGAAAUUCUAUUGUGGCUGCCACCAAGACAGGAAGGGGGUGGGGGGUGGGGGGUGUACCUAGAGGAACACCCUUCCUCUUUUAGGUUAAGAUAGCUUUGUCCAGUCCUACCUAGGAUUAAUCCCUUGUCACCACAAAGUGUACUUGAAGGCAAAGCUUGUGAUGUCAGUGAUGGGCACAGUUCUCACCAGGCCAUUUGGGAGAGGUAGCAUUCUGAGCUUGUGCUAACAACCAGUGACUGGUAAAGUUCCGCAGCUCAACUGGGCAGCUCAAAAUGCUUCUGAAGCGUUAGCUGCACAAUGGCAGAGCAGGUCCUGUGGGUCACACGCAUGCUUGACAGGAGCAGACAAACGGAGUGACUCAAGAUCCCCCAGAAACACAGUGGCAGCUCUCUCUCUCUCUCUCUCCUCUCUCUCUCUCUCAAUGACCUAUUUUCUAUCUGUUUGAUAGGCCAUGGUGAGACAUCACUAAAAUGCUAUUUUUAUGAUGUGUGCUAAUAAAGAAAACAAAUGCAGCUUGACACCUUGUCCAUUUCAUUCAAAGAGGUAUGGGUGUUUGGAAUCUCAACACCUCAGCACCCCUUUACUGGUAUUGAGUUAGGAAGUGCGAGAUGAACAAGUCCACACCAAUACCACUGUCGUCAAAGGCCAGUCCAGACAUCCACCUUUGUUUACAGUUUCUCGUUGGGUUCCUGUCAUUUCUGUGAUAACCCCAUCUUCAGGAACAUUGGCUGCUCCAGGCAGUGGAAGGUGCUGAAACAGUUGUUUGUUUUUUUUAAGUUUUCUUUUAAAAUAUUUAUCAAGCACUCUUCACAGUGCUCAGCUACAUACCAUCCACUAAACUAUAUCAAGCCCUGCUUUGUAGGAUCUGGGAAGCUGAUCCAGUUCUAAGAGUUUUGUCAAAUUAUGAGAUAGAAGGUCUUUGACAUCUGCUUUCUCCUUUCCCACAGACCAGUCCCACACCCAACUAGCAGUGUAGCGCAGACCACAGUAGACACAAGAAGUGGUGUUUCCUUUCCCUCCCACCCUCACCUCCCCACCCCCCACCCCCCACCCCCGCCAUUGUCAAAGCCAUCCAAUAACGUCCUGUGAGCGAGGGACUCCUUGGCCCGUGUUUAAGGCUUGGGGAAAUUAGAAACAAGAAAAAUGAAUGCAAAAGCCAUGGGAGGCAUUGUUUUUCUUUGGGCUAGUUAAACAUGGCGGAAAGGGAUUGCUAUUGUCCGAGCUUUGCCAAGAAAUACAAAAAGAAUCAGCUGUCACCUCAUCCUUCUGGAAGAAGGUUUUAUAGUAUUAAUGAUACAAGUGAUAUUUUCCCAUGGAGUUUUCCUUAGGAUACAUUUCAUGAAUUAUACACAGGAGACAUUUUAUUAUUAGAUCUCAUGUGUUUGCAAAAGGUACUGGCUUCUCCCUGAUUGAUGCCCGUCCCCUUGGCUUGCGUCAGCAAUGCAGAGGGGCUCCGUGGUGACGGCUUCUAUGAUCCAUAUGCCUGUGUCGUUAUUAUUGUUGUUCACAGGCUUAAUGGUUGCAAAAUUUAGAAUUCGGCAAAGCUCCAGGGGAAACGAGCGGUCUUGUGAUUGUAUACAGGCAGUCAGAGGCCUUUAACGGCUCAUUGCUGGCUUCACUUGUGAACACACACACCCGUCCGACUAGGAAAAGGGUAUUUCCGAGUGAGGUACCAAUGGCUCUGGAAAGGCAGAAAUGGAAGGUUAGAGCCAGGCUGGUCCUUGUGCACCUGCCUACCUCCCUGUCCAAAGGCUGACCUUGGUACCCCCCAUUCCCCUACUCUUGCCCCAAAAGAGGUACCACAUCUGAGACCUGAGCUCCCCUCCAAUCCCAGUCCUCUCCAGCUCCGGGACCUUCAUCCUAUAGAACAUUCUAGACAGCCCUGACUUCCUUUCCUCUGAGAGUUACCCUCUCUGCCUCCUUGUCUCCUCCUCCCACCUAGAUACCUAUUCCACCACCACUGUUUCCACAUUGGAAGAGCAGAAUACUGUGUAGUAUUGUGCACGCAUGCCAGUUAGGAGUAGAGCUGCCCUAGAGUCACUUCAUGUAAGUGUCAACAGGUACAAAUGUAAAGUCCUUAGAGCAGUGACACCUGUACUCUCUGGAAGAGAAUUCAAUUUGACCCUCCAAGUUCCAAGGGAUCAUGGCUCUGCAGGUGUCUUUCUCUGCGUGGCUGACUGUGACGAUUACAUUAGGGUCAAUGAGCUAAGAAGUACAUGUGGGAUUCACUAUGUUAGGAAGGAGUUUUGCAGCCAAGACUGCCUUGAAUAAAAAAUGUUUUUGCACUGAAAAAAAAAAAACUUUAAAUGACUUGGUCUCUGGUUGCUGUAAAGGUCAUCCAAGAUGGAUGUUCUGUUUAUAUUGUAUAGUAUUUCAUAAGAAAUAACUGCAGUUCAUGAAACGUCUUCCCUACUGUUACUGAUUUCUAACAGCACAUUUGUAACAUGGUUUUUAUCGUGUCCGUGUACCAUAUUGUAAAUGAUGAUUCCUUGUCAUCCUUAGUACAAUAAGU